UCUGGUUACUGGAGCGACUCGGUCCCACCCUUUCCCAUCCCGAACAAGGAAGUGAAACGAGUCAGCGCCGAUGAUACUGACCCGCUUAGCGGGUAGGGAAAGUAGGUCGUAGCCAGGG
rnacentral:rRNA from 1 species